rnacentral:rRNA from 1 species
CCUACGGGAGGCAGCAGUGAGGAAUAUUGGUCAAUGGUCGGGAGACUGAACCAGCCAAGCCGCGUGAGGGAUGAAGGUACAGAGUAUCGUAAACCUCUUUUGUCAGGGAACAAAGGCGGGGACGUGUCCCCGGAUGAGUGUACCUGAAGAAAAAGCAUAGGCUAACUCCGUGCCAGCAGCCGCGGUAAUACGGAGGAUGCGAGCGUUAUCCGGAUUUAUUGGGGUUAAGGGGUGCGCAGGCGGUCUGUUAAGUCAGCGGUCAAAGCCCGGGGCUCAACCCCGGCCCGCCGUUGAAACUGGCAGGCUCGAGUUGGAGAGAGGUAUGCGGAAUGCGCGGUGUAGCGGUGAAAUGCAUAGAUAUCGCGAAGAACUCCGAUUGCGAAGGCAGCAUGCCGGCUCCACACUGACGCUGAGGCACGAAAGCGUGGGUAUCGAACAGGAUUAGAUACCCUAGUAGUC